GACGAACGCUGGCGGCGUGCCUAAUACAUGCAAGUAGAACGCUGAAGGAGGAGCUUGCUUCUCUGGAUGAGUUGCGAACGGGUGAGUAACGCGUAGGUAACCUGCCUGGUAGCGGGGGAUAACUAUUGGAAACGAUAGCUAAUACCGCAUAAGAGUAGAUGUUGCAUGACAUUUGCUUAAAAGGUGCAAUUGCAUCACUACCAGAUGGACCUGCGUUGUAUUAGCUAGUUGGUGAGGUAACGGCUCACCAAGGCAACGAUACAUAGCCGACCUGAGAGGGUGAUCGGCCACACUGGGACUGAGACACGGCCCAGACUCCUACGGGAGGCAGCAGUAGGGAAUCUUCGGCAAUGGACGGAAGUCUGACCGAGCAACGCCGCGUGAGUGAAGAAGGUUUUCGGAUCGUAAAGCUCUGUUGUAAGAGAAGAACGAGUGUGAGAGUGGAAAGUUCACACUGG
rnacentral:rRNA from 1 species